GAUUAGAUUUGUGCCAAUAGGAUCAAGAAAAACACUUUGGAGAGCAAACAAAUUUUAAGACAUUGAGAGAAAAAACCUUGGUUUCAAAAGAAAAACUUACGAUCUGAAUCAGAUUCUUAAAAUGAUCAAGAAAAACACUUUGACGGUCAAACAAAAAUUAAGAAAUUGACAGAACAAAAAUAUUGACUAAAGGAAAAAAACAUGUUUCAAAAGUAAAACUUACUAUCUGAAUCAACUUCUUAAAAUGAGUAACAAAGUAUGUUUCCUUUUUCUGUUUGCCUCUAUGUGUUUUUGUUAUCAAUUUCCUUAGUUUUGUUCUCUCUGCUCAGAGCUUUGCUCUCACUACCAGAUUUGCACUUACACUGUCUGGCUUUCUCCUUUGCAAUCCCUGAGUUUUUGGUUGCAAUUCUGACACAACCCUUUCGGGUGGGCGGGACUUCUGAGAAGUCCUCUCCCAUAGGACAGUGGUUUCUCUUGAGUGACAGUUCAGUGACCUGGAAGUGAUGUAGCCUCCAAGACAUUUUUUUCCACCUGGUCAACAACAUGAAUUUUGAGCCCCAAACAGGUUAUUUCUGCUGUCUGUGGUGUCUACUGAGGAUCUAAAGAACCUGUGGAACAUCAGAGACUUUGCAGCUAUUAGAGCUAACCUGUGUACUGCUAACUUGCUACAGAGGAAGCAGCAGAAAGCUGAGCUAACAGGCUGUUUUGCAGGUAAUCCUCGGGUGUCAGCUGGAGGAGGUGACCACCUGCAUAACGGAGCACCCUGGUUCUGAGCCAGUUGCACCUUUGUGCAGCUCUUUGGGGAGACGAUGCUCAGCAGGUUAAACAACUGUAAAAUUGAUUUUGUUCGUAGUUUUUGUUUAAUCUCUUACAUCACCAGUUUUUCUUUCUUACAGACACAUUUCUCCAUGUGGUCAGGUGGUGUUGGUGUGAUCUGUGAGGGCACACUCAUGUCGUCAUCUCUUUGUGCCGUCUCCAGGAUCCUGAUGGGAGUUCUCUGUGCCUAUAAAGCAGGAGUAUUUACUUCUGGGCCUGGAGGGCCGGUAUCCAGCACGUUUUAGUUUUAACUCCGUUUCAAUACACCUGAUUUCAGUCAGCAGAUAAUUAACAGGCUUCUGCAGAGCUGCUGCACAGGUAAUUCAACCACUGAUUCAAGUGUGUUGGAGCAGGGAAACAACUAAAACGUGCUGGAUACCAGCCAUCCAGGACUAGAAUUGAAUACCCCUGCUAUAAAGCCUUCCUCCCUCCUCCGGACUUUAAACAUUAGUGUUUUAUUACGGUUUACCUGAUUUAGUAAAUAAAUCUCAAUUUAUAAA